UGUGCGCGGCCGCGGCGGGCGGGCAGCUCAGUUUGGUGCGUCGCGGCGGCCUUCGGCCUUCCCCCUCCGUUUCCCUUGCUCCUUGUGGAGCUGGGCGCUCGAGGCCGGGAGGGUGGCGGCGGCCCCAGGGCUAUAUCCAGGAGAUGAGCAGCACUGUCCUAGGGAACAGAGCUAAAUAAAUAACACCUGGCAGGAGUCCUGGGUUAGGAGCUGGGCACACGGAGCGCGCUGCCAGCAGCCGGGUCGGGUUCCCCACGGCGGUGGAUGUUUGCAGGAAUGCGGGGAGCUGGGCCAGCGCCCAGGGGCGCCCUGCAGGGCCAGGUAGCCCUCAUCAGCCCAGCGAGUGGCACACUGUGAUUUUGCUGCCUGGGCCAUGGGUGCUUACCGGGGGACAAGCUGCCCUGUGUUACCUGUGCAAUUUUCUGGGGGGCCACAGGGCAGGCCGCCAGCCGUCACAUUGGCAUCGGCACCCACACCGUCAAAAAGCACCAGGCCUGAAAUGGAGAGGAGAUGGAUGAGCCGCCCCCACCCCAGCGCCCAGCAUUGCUCCCGCCCAGAACAAGCCCCAGCAUGGGGCACAGCUGGCACUUCCCUCCUGCCUAUAUAUAGCCAGGGAAUACGCUUUGGGUAGUGGGGCUGGAAGCGCCGCCAGCGCUGCAUCUCCGACAUCCCCACGCGGCUGCCACAGAACGCCGCUCCCGGCAGCUCCCAGCAGCUCCCAGCUCAGGCAGCCAGUGGCCUCCCUGCGACUGCAUGAGAUCCAGCGGCCACCGGCAGUGUCGCUGGGCGUGAGGAUGACUUCACCCACUUCACAGCUCCGCACGGAAACAUCCACGCCAGGAACAUUUUCAGCCCCUGAUUGGAAACAGAUGCUGCCAGCACUCAGCCCUCUGCAAGUUUUCACGGGGUGGCAGUGACAGGCAAGCGGGGCACAGGGCACCUCCCGCCGUGGCAGGGGCACCCAAGGGUGCUGGGUGUCGCAGCCUGAAACCAGCCCAGCAGGCACCUCCCGUGCAGGCGCAGGUUGGGCAGGUUUUGCUGUGCGCACGGGCCGGACUUGCCAGCGGGCCAGGCCAAGCCAGUCCCGUGGGAGGGGAAGGCUUUGCAGCACACCACCGGCAGGUUUCGGGGACCAAGCGGGGCAGCAGAGCCGGAGGCCCCUGCCAGCGGCACCCGCGAGCGAGGCUGAUGUGCAGCCCUGUGCACCGUCUUUGAGCACCGGCAGGAGGCAGCUGCCAGCUCAGGGCUGUGCGGCUUCUCCAACACUUGCGAAAAGCCCUGCAUUUUUUGGAUUGCAAACAGCAUUGUAGACCACUUGCUUGUAUUUCCCCUGAAGCCAGCCAAGCCAAACACCACCUUAAGCAAUGGGCAAUGGGAUUUAAAGACAGCGUGUUUUUCCCUA